rnacentral:sRNA from 1 species
UACAUUCCGGAUGUGCUAGCAUGGCG